AUGACUUUUUGGCUAAGCUCGGUAAUCUUGCUCACAGUUCUCAGAGGUGUCAAAUCUGAAGCUCUCCUUGAACAAUCUGGAGGAGGUUCAAAAAAGCCUGGGGAGUCCUUCCGCCUUUCCUGCAAAGGUUCAGGGUUUGACUUUGGCAAUGCUGGCCUGCGUUGGGUGCGACAGGCUCCAGGGAAAGGACUGGAAUGGAUUGCAGUUAUUUGGUUUGACUCAAGCAAGCAAUACUAUGCAGAAUCUGUGAAAGGGUGCUUCACCGUCUCCAGGGACAAUGCUAACAGCCAGCUGUAUCUACAAAUGGAUAGUCUAAAAAUGGAAGACACAGCAGUCUACUACUGCACAGCUUACACAGCGAGAGGAAGUGAAUCUGGAGAUUUGCAAAAACCUCUCCCUGUUAUCAAUUAG